CUUUCACAUGCAAGUCGGACGGCAGCACAGAGAAGCUUGCUUCUUGGGUGGCGAGUGGCGAACGGGUGAGUAAUAUAUCGGAACGUACUGAGUAAUGGGGGAUAACUAAUCGAAAGAUUAGCUAAUACCGCAUAUUCUCUGAGGAGGAAAGCAGGGGACCUUCGGGCCUUGCGUUAUUCGAGCGGCCGAUAUCUGAUUAGCUAGUUGGUGGGGUAAAGGCCUACCAAGGCGACGAUCAGUAGCGGGUCUGAGAGGAUGAUCCGCCACACUGGGACUGAGACACGGCCCAGACUCCUACGGGAGGCAGCAGUGGGGAAUUUUGGACAAUGGGCGCAAGCCUGAUCCAGCCAUGCCGCGUGUCUGAAGAAGGCCUUCGGGUUGUAAAGGACUUUUGUCAGGGAAGAAAAGGCUGUUGCUAAUACCGACAGCUGAUGACGGUACCUGAAGAAUAAGCACCGGCUAACUACGUGCCAGCAGCCGCGGUAAUACGUAGGGUGCGAGCGUUAAUCGGAAUUACUGGGCGUAAAGCGAGCGCAGACGGUUACUUAAGCAGGAUGUGAAAUCCCCGGGCUCAACCUGGGAACUGCGUUCUGAACUGGGUGACUAGAGUGUGUCAGAGGGAGGUAGAAUUCCACGUGUAGCAGUGAAAUGCGUAGAGAUGUGGAGGAAUACCGAUGGCGAAGGCAGCCUCCUGGGAUAACACUGACGUUCAUGCUCGAAAGCGUGGGUAGCAAACAGG
rnacentral:rRNA from 1 species